ACUCCUAGGCCAGCACAUCGACAUGACCCACUCUUUGGGAACAUCUACUCAUCCUGGAUGAAUAAAUUCUGAGUAGUUUUUCCUUCUUUUUUAGGCUUUCUUUUCUCCUGUGCCUUUUUCCUCGCAGAUCAUUGGAUUGUUAGUUGUUAGUAUUUCAUCUCUGUUAGUCUGGAAACUAACACACUGGGGACAGAGAGAUUGCAGUAGGCUCCAUGGUAAGAUGAAGUUACUGAUAAUCUGCGUUCAAGCCAAUGGGAUUGUCAAAACUCAGGUAACUUCGAACAGGAUGCCUAGUCUAAAGGCACAGGUAUGUACCUGUGAUUAAAGGAGGUAUGCUGUUUCAGAACUCACACCCCUGCAGUUGUCUCUACUGCUUCCUGAUGGUUGUCUUUCAUACAACUUGUCUCAUUUUCUUUUUCAGGGUUGCUAUUUCCUGCUCUUUUCAGAUACAGUUUUGGCAGAGAGAUGGAGAAUCUGCUUGUCCACAUCAUAUCCUUGGGGGUCAGUUAAUUCCAUGCUAUAGGAAGAAAUCUGUCAGACCCGCAUGUGUAAGCAACGUAUUGUCUCUCUAGUGCAAGAACCUGAAAGAGUGAAUAAAAAUUAGGAGGUAUGUCAGACACUGUGAAAUGAAAGGAAACUGCUCAAAAGUAAAGAGCAACUGGGAUGAGGGAAAAGAGAAAAGAAAGAAGGGGAAAAUUAAGUAUAUAUAGGAAAGCUAACAUAGUUGUACUACUGACAGAAUUCUAUCACUUUAAUGAAAGGAACAGUUAAUGAUUAAUUAUUUCAUCAAUCUUGCAUGUCUCUAUUUGUUUUCCUGAGUAACCACUUUGAAGAUAUCAAUGUGUAAUACAACAACCAUUGUUAAUUUCCUAUCACCUUGUCUGAAAUUCAAUAUUCCUUGUAUUGUUCUUGUGUUAUUUUGUAAAUGGAUGUGUGUUUGUUAAUAUGUUUUUGUUCAUUUAUUUUUAAAAUAAAAUAAAAAAAUAAGUAUAACUAUUUAAAAAAAUGAAAGAAAUCUGGAAUAGAGAAAAGUAUUAUAAAUUGCUCAUUUUAUGAAACAAACACAACUCUGAUAUCAAAUAAAUACACCAAAGAUGCUAUAGACUAAUCUCAUUUAUUGUUAUCUAUAUGAAAAAUCAUAAGUAAAGAAGAAUAACAGAAUUUAAUAGCAUAU
rnacentral:lncRNA from 1 species